UACGAAGGGGGCUAGCGUUGUUCGGAAUCACUGGGCGUAAAGGGCGCGUAGGCGGCCUGGCAAGUCGGGGGUGAAAGCCUGUGGCUCAACCACAGAAUGGCCUCGAUACUGUCGGGCUCGAGACCGGAAGAGGUCAGUGGAACUGCGAGUGUAGAGGUGAAAUUCGUAGAUAUUCGCAAGAACACCAGUGGCGAAGGCGGCUCUCUGGGACGGUACUGACGCUGAGACGCGAAAGCGUGGGGAGCGAACAGG
rnacentral:rRNA from 1 species